AACGGCUUCAAACCCGGAAGUUAUUGUUUCCGCGCGAAAUAUCAACAGUCUCGGUGGAAAUGUGUUUAAAGAAGAAGUGACAGCGGCUCUGCUCGUCUCCGUGUAGCAGCUGCGUAGAUAGAGCGCGUGUCCACGCGUGUGCAGUGACACGAGGCCGCAAUGCAGCGGAGUAAAGCGCCCGUGAGCGUGGAAGUGAAGCAGGUCAUCGGAGCUCUGUGUAGACUCCUGACGGCCACAGGCCUGGACCCUGUACCCACACCGGAGACCUUCCGACGGGCUAAAUUCGGUUGUGGAAACGAGGAGGAUCAGUUCUGGCAGCUUCUAGCCAGCAUUCUUCAAAACAGUGGAAUUGUUUCAGAUGAAGUCUGCACACAGCUGAGAGGAGAGUGCAGAAAGCUGGUAACUGCAGGCCUGUGGCAGACUGGCUACUAUGCAGACUGGAUGUAUGAGACGGAGGAAAGAGGGCAGGAGGGGACAGGUUUCUCCAGCAGAGACCUCCUCCUGGCCCUGGGCUGGCUGCUUGCUGCAGGAACUCUGGAGAACCUGAUGACACAGCGAGUACAGCAGCUGGACAGGACGUUGCUCAUAUCAAUACCUGUGAGCCGCGUGUUCUCCGGUCAGCUCCCCUUGGACUCUGGCUCACUGAGGAGACUGCAGUGGCUCACUGGAUGUCUGAGGCAUCAGGGACGUACUUUGCUUUCCAUGCUACAGGAAAGAACUAAAGUGCUUCAUGCUGUUUUGUCUGUCAGCCUCUCAUCCACUGGGCCUUCAUGUUCUUACCAAAGCUCCACAGUACUAAAGGAGGAGUGUGUUUGUAUGCGGCAGCUCUGUGACGUCCUCGAAGCUUAUCUCAAGUGGAAACAGGUGGAGAAAGUUUUCUGGACCUGGAUGGACAGCGUGGUGGACGGCCAUCUGACAGAUCCUGUUGUGAAGAGCUCUCCACAUGCACCCACUUGGAGUCCAAGAGUGUGUCACCAUGGAAACCAGGGGCUAGAGAAACUGCAGAACGUGCUGUCCAGACUGCCCACUGCACAGGAUGGGUUGGAGCCCCUCUCGUCUCUCUCUUCUUUGCAUACUUUGACCCAGGCUUAUCGACCCAGGCUGAAGGCUGAAUCAGACAGUUGUCCUGUUAGGCGCUCAGCAGAGGGAUCCAGCAGUGGGACUGAGGUUUCGGGCGUCAUCCCAGUGUCUGAGGCUGCAGAGAUGCUACUUCACGAGGAGGCUCUGCUGCUCGAGAGGAGGGACAAGCAGAGGCUGGCCAACAGGAUGCAGCUGCAGGAGAUGAUUGGCAGGCUGGAUGAACUGGUGUUGAUACCACCAUAGAGAGCCAUCAGUGUUGUUCGAUGACAGUCUGGACACUCUUUAGACCACAGACCAAUGAUGUUUUUGUUGAUUAAAAACUGGUUCACUUUUCGCAACACCUGCUACCUCCUGCCUGUCAACCAGGUUUAAUGGGAUCUUCACACACAACUGAAAACUAAACUAAAAACUGAAAUAGAUAUAUAGAUUAAUGAAGCAUGCAGUUAAUAUGUAAGUGUUUGGAUGAGGUUGUAGAAUAUAUUCACUGGUGAGCACAGUGAACACAAGGCUUGGUAUACUCUCUGCUGGUGCUACCCCUCUCAUUGCUUCCAUCUAUUGUUGGCAUUGUCUCGGCUAAAUAAAAAGAACAGCAGCUCCUCA
rnacentral:lncRNA from 1 species